UGGGGAAUAUUGGACAAUGGGCGAAAGCCUGAUCCAGCCAUGCCGCGUGUGUGAAGAAGGUCUUCGGAUUGUAAAGCACUUUAAGUUGGGAGGAAGGGCAGUAAGCGAAUACCUUGCUGUUUUGACGUUACCGACAGAAUAAGCACCGGCUAACUCUGUGCCAGCAGCCGCGGUAAUACAGAGGGUGCGAGCGUUAAUCGGAUUUACUGGGCGUAAAGCGUGCGUAGGCGGCUAAUUGAGUCGGAUGUGAAAUCCCCGAGCUUAACUUGGGAAUUGCAUUCGAUACUGGUUAGCUAGAGUGUGGGAGAGGAUGGUAGAAUUCCAGGUGUAGCGGUGAAAUGCGUAGAGAUCUGGAGGAAUACCGAUGGCGAAGGCAGCCAUCUGGCCUGACACUGACGCUGAGGUACGAAAGCAUGGGGAGCAAACAGG
rnacentral:rRNA from 1 species